AUCUCAUUCCCUCCCAAUACCCAAGUCACAACACAUCCCUCAGCAAUUAUUGCCUCAAAUGAACAUUCUGAUUACGGCCAUCCAAAGUUCCAACUGGUUGCUGUACUUGUGCAGAUAAUUAGAAGAUGGACUUAUGUGUUGUAUUUUGAUUGUCCCUGUCUUCUACGUCCAGCACUGUCCGAUUGUUUGGGUUGUCACAUUCAGUUCCACAAGUGGAGAUCUGAAUGCUUGGUAGACCUGCAGUUGUACACCGACAUUUCUGUGCAGUUGCUGUGUGAACAAUACAAAUGUGUGAUGUCACGCACUACUUCUGGGGUGGAUUCUUUAAUGUAAUAUACUGGUAGCAUCGAUUUUGAUUCAGAUAUAGAUCUAUAUCAUCCAGUGACUCAACAUCUCUUCCUUUUUUGCCAUACAAGAGUAAAGCAAAUUUCCUCGUUGAUUUUAAUUAAUUUAUCCUUAUUCGUGUUGUCACCGAGGCCUUGCAAGGGUUUUGCAUUUUUCGUUGCAACAUUGUAUGCAGUGCGCUUUCCCAUCCUGUUCAAGGAGCUGGUGGUAUCACAUCCUGAGAGGGCAUGGAUGGCUGGAAGUAUGUUGCAAACAGUCUUGUUUAACUGUUGUGCUAUGAUUUGUAUUGGCACUUAUCGUUCAUGACUGACUAUCUUCCCCGAAUGCCAGGAAUGCAUGAAUACCUCUCCUGGUAAAUACCCUCUGCUGUAAUAGUAGACAAGUAGCACCAUGACAUCGGUGUCGUCACAUUGUAUUAUGACUCGUGAAAUUCCAAAUGAACCUCAUUAUAACAUGUUUUUGGUAUGUCACAAACAAGGGGUUAAAAUGACUUGUUAGUUAAAAUCCAUUUUGAUAAAGUUGAUAUCCAAAUGAACAAUUUGAUACUUAAUUUGUCUUUUUGGAGGUCAGUCUGCUCACCUAUGACAUUAGUACUGGAUGGAAAGAACACUUUGAAGACCUCCUGAACACCAAACCAGUCAUUGAGGAGGAGGAAGUGCUCAGCCAUUUACCAAGACAAGACAUUGUUUAAGAACUCAGCUGAACCCCAACACUUGCAGAAACUCUUGUUGCCCUUUAAAGGUAAGAAAAAUAAGAGAGCACCUGGGGAAGACAACAGGUCUUUAAAUGAGGUCUUUAAUAAAGGAGGUCCCUCACCAGCUGCAUCAACUCAUCAUCAAAAUCUGGAGUCAAGAAGAAAUACUACCGGAUCUGAAAGACUCAAUGAUUGUCACCAUCUAUAAGUGGAAAGGAGACAACUUUGACUAUGGAAACCAUAGCAGAAUCUCCUUAUUGUCUACCACAGGAAAGGUGCUUGCAGGCAUUGGUGACAAUCGUCUGAAACUACUAGCAAAAAAACAUCCUUCUGACCAUCAAGAGGGACAACAGACACAAUCUUCACUGUCCAUCAACUGCAAAAAAAUAUGUUGAGAGUAACACCAACCAUUGUUUUUUGCCUUCAGCGACUUGACAAAGGCGUUCGACAGCGUGCCACACCCACUUCUGUGAGUCAUCUCAGUAUUUAGGGUGUAACAUAAAAUAAAAGAAACAGAGUGUCACUUGUAAGUGCCUUCAAGAGACAGGUGCACCAACAACCAGCACAUUGCGUUUUAGAUAGUGAACAAAGAGGAGAUAAUGAGAGGUUUUCUGGCACCAAGUGUUGAAGUGCACAUGUAGGAGCAUCAGUCAUUCAUAGAUCCCCGAGGUAAAGCCUUAGAGUGCCUCCUGCAACACCUUCUCCUCAUUAUUCUCUGAUUGCCUGAUCUCCCAGCAGGCACAAACAUCCCCCACAACACACACACACAUAUCGCACCUGUGCUAAAGAUAUAGUAUAACUCAGAGUUAUUAAUGGUUAUGCCAUUAAUGCCAUUUGUGUUGACAUGUAUUUUGUUUUUAAAUUUUGUUAUGAUUGGUUGCUGUUAAAUACACCAUUAUUCAUCCCUUUGUGUAUAAGCAGCGUGUGCGUGUUGUGAACCUGCCUGUGUACAGCAUAUUUUGACUAUUUCGCUGUAUGAAUAAUAGACAAACUGUGAUUUAAUUUAGACCACAUUUUGGUUGUGGAGAGCCACGAUGCAAAUGCACAGACACUGCACAUGACAACACCUUAUUUAAGACCAGCGCACUGCUGGGUGCACAAAUGAGUGAAAGUAGAUUUGCUCUUGAAGAGAAUGUGGGUGUCGGCUGUGAAAAUGACACUUGCAUCAAUUGCACACUUGCAAUGGCAGUUGCGAUGCGCCAUGUGCUACUUUGUGCUGCUUUGUGCAUUGGAGCUCAGUAAGUGGAUGCAUGAGUCUGACAUUUCAUAGAAUAGAGGGAAGUUAUUCAGACUCAUUUGUAAGACAAUAAUAUUUCUGCUUGGAGAACACCAAUGGUUCUGCUGCAUGUGCUCACAUGUGCUGUCAGGGGGGAAGUUACUCAAGAAUAUGACCUAAAUAUUUCCAUUUAGUCUCUUAGCUCUUUCAAAGGUGAAUGCACUUUUUGCAAUUACCAGUUCACUCUCACAUUAGUUUAUUUGAAACAUAUAAUAACCUACGUUUUGUUGUGUUGUGUUUUAAUUUCGGAAUUUUUGCCUGCAGCAUUUAUUAUCUAAAAAUAACCUUUAUAAUAUUAACUGUUCAUUCACUACAGAGAAGAAAAACCACCUUCUCAUUUCAUGUUAGACGUUUGGGGUUUAGACCUUUAUUUUUCUUGCCUACAGACUAAAAUUGGAUAAUUGGGUGAAUAUGAAAAGAUGUCAAACAGAUUUUGCUACUUGGUUCCAGUGACUGUUUCUGGCAUGACGUAUGUACAGCCACUAAAAAAAAAAAAAGUUUUGCAUUUCUACAAGGGAUUACCAGAUUCAGCACAUUUUUGUUUCAAAUUUGUGAUGUGGGAUUUCAUUUCCUGCAUCAGCCAAAAAAUAAAAAUAAAAAAUCUAACAUUUGUACUCAGAUAUUUCAUUUACAAAGAGUUUCUUAACUCCACUGAUGUUAAAACUUUCACAUCCUGUGUUCAAAUAUUUUAUUCAUGUUUCCCUUCCUUUCUAAAAAAACAAAACAAAACAAAAAACUGCAAUUUGGUGGAUUUUCUUUCACAAUUUCACAGAGGAACUGUGAAUAUCAUUCAGAGUUGAACGCAUUAGUCAAGUGCAUUUUACCGAUGCUUUAUUCUUUAUUUCUAAUUUUAUUGUAAUUUUUAAAUUAUACAAAAAUUUAACGUGGAGUGAAACAGUUUGCCAUUUCCUUUGUGCUGUUGCUAGUUACACUUUGCCGUUGGGCAUUUUGUUCCCAAUUGCACUGUUGUCUAAUAUCCUCAUGUGUCACCGUCUAUAAUCAUCUUCCUCUCCCAGUUGCUCUUGUUGGGAGUCACCACAGCAGAUCAUUCAGAUCCAUUUCACCCUGUCCUCUGUAACUUCCUCUGUCACACCAACCACCUGCAUGUCCUCCCUCACCACAUCCAUAAUCCUCUUCUUUACCCUCCCUCUUCUCCUCCUGCCUGGUGGCUCCAUCAUCAGCAUCCUUCUCCCUAUAUACCCUAAGUCCCUCCUUUGUACAUGUCCAAACGUCUCAAUUUUGCCUUUCUGACUUUGUCUCCCAACUGUCCCACCUCUGCUGUCCCUCUAAAUAUUAAUUCCUAAUCCUGUACAUCGUCAUCACUUCCAAAGAAAAUAGCAGGAUCUUUGAACUUGUACACCCUCAAGUUGUCCAUCACACCUGGUCUCACUCUUGCCUUGUAAACUUUGUCCUUCACUCUUGCAGAUAUCCUUCUAUCACAAUUCACUCCUGCCACAUUUGUCCAUCCACUUCGCCCUUCCUGCACUCAGUAGCUGAUAUAACUACAUGUUCAAGCAAUUACCUUGGGAAACAUUUAUCAAGCAUUACAUGACAGAGUUACAUUUACCAAUGGCCCUUAUAAAUUUUACUGUGCAAUAAAGCCUUAUAUUAACCUUGUUCAGAAGCAGCGUCAACAUCUCUGGGUUCGGCAUCUCCUGGGUUGGACCAUCACGCAACAGAAAUGUGCAUUGUGGUCAGACAAAUUAGUAUUCCAGAUCUUUUUUGGAAGAAACGGACCACAUGUGCCGUGUACCAAAAACAGAAGGGACGAUCCAGUCUGGUAUCAGCAACAAGUCUAAAAGCCAGAGUCUGUCAUGGUAUGGGGUUGUCUUAGUGAUCCUGGAAAAGGUAAUUUACAGUUCUAUGAUGGCAGCAUUAAUGCAGAAAAAUACAUAGAGAUUUUACAGCAACAUAUGCUGCCUUUAAGACUUCAUCUUUUCCAGGGACGUUCAUGCAUUUUUCAACAAUACAAUGCAAAACCGCAUUAUACACACUUUACAAAGGCAUGGCUGUGGAAUAGGAGGGUACUGAUACUGUGCUACUUGCAGCCCUGACCUGCCCUCAGCAGAGAAUUUGUGGAGAAUUUUGAAAAGAAAAUGCAACAAUGAUGACCCUGUACUGUUGCACACCUUAAGAUGUGUUUUCAGGAGGAAUGGGACAUUACACCUAAAACUCUUCAUCACUUGGUAUCCUCUAUGCCAAUGUAUCUUUGAAGUGUUAUGAGAAGGUAUGGCAAAAAAAACAAACAAAAAAAACCUUUAGAGUUCCAAAAUUUUUGGAAUGUGUUGCAGGCCUUAAAUGCAGGAAUGGAUGUUUUUUUAAGAAAUGAAAUGAAGUUGACCACAUAAAACAUAACCUAUCUUGGGUUCCUACCAUCUGCAAUGAAAUAGAAGCCAACGUAAAUGCAAGAAUCACUGCUUCCCCCCAUCCUCCAUACCAUCCCAAACUUUUCUGGUUUAGCCUUAUGAUAAACAACACAAAUUCCAAAAUGGUACUAUAAUAUUUUUACAAACACAUGUUUAAACAUUUAAUAUUACUUGAAAUACUUAUAGGAGAGAACCUCCAGCAGACCAGACUCAGUGGGUUGACCAUCUGCUUUGGCCAAACUAAUAAAUAAAACAAAAGAAAAACACAGGUAUUUGUAAAACAUGCCAUAGCAGAAAUGUUGGAGCUGAGGCACCAUACAUGUAGUGUUUAAAAUGAAUGACAAAGCCUUUACUGUUGCACAGUUUUUUUUUCUUGAUCUCAAACUUAGUGUCAUUCUGGAUCAACAAAAUCAGUCAGUUCCACAUAUCAGCUUUCUGAUGACUAAUUUCACCGCUGUGCCUCAGUGACAGUCGCACUACAGAAAUUAUGUUGUAGAUGUAGAAGGUGAACAUGGCGUGUUGGUCAGGUGUACUAAUACGUGAUCUGAUGGUGGGAACACAGUCGGCCAUUUGUUCAGCCUGUGUCCUUGACUUCAUAGCCUUGAUAUGGAAGAAAAUUCCCCUAAGCAGCAUGGUGUUUUGUCUUUUAUUUGGAUAAAACUGUGGUAGAAUUCACAUCAGUUUGAUGCAAACCGUAUUUAAUGCAUAGUCAAGUCACGUCUGGGAGCAUGUGCUGGUGCUGCGCUUCACCACAUCCACGACACCACAGAGCCGCUUUGGGUUAACAAACUGCAAAACAAUAACCACCCAGACAAACAAAUGGUCCAUCCCCACAUCUCUAAAAUAACUAUCUAUCUGCCACAGCCAAAUGAAACUUUGGUAUCCCCUUCACCGUCUCCAGUCCCUGGAAUCCUCAACACUUGGGCACCUGCGUGCUGGUUCAUGCACAGAGAAACGCUCCACAUGGCCAGAAUAUCAAAGCUGAUGCUUCCUCACAAUACAAGUGAGACUCCUCAUUUUAGUCUUCCGAAGAAACCACACAAUUGGCAUAACGUCAUUCCAGCGUUACUCAAGGAUCCUCUGAAGAGAUCUAGUUCCAAAGACAUUCAGUCUUUGCCUUAUUGACUAACAAGCAACACACAAACAUCAGUGAGACAGUAAAAUACGUGCUGUGAAAUCUACCAGAAGAUGUACUUUCAUGGCAUAAAAUAAAAGCGUGCAGUUCUUAAUACAUAGAGACAGGAUUAUUCUACAAAAUCAAGACAUUGCAUUGUAUAUUGACAUAUUUUUGUGUUUGACAUUUUGGAUAAAAUUAAUAAUCAUAACGAUAAUGAACAACUGGGAAUGACAUGUAUGCAAUUUGUCCUGCGUGGCAGCGUUGGAAUGGAAAACAUUACGUGACAGUAGAUUGCUUAAAGUAGGUUAACGUCCAACUAGCUACAAUAAUGAUAAACAUAUAUAAGCAUUGAAGCAUUCUGCUCCAUUUCUGAAUCAGAUGUUGGUACUCUACUUUCUGUCAAAUGUGUAACUGACCUUUAACCAAGCUCGGAGCUCUACCCCCCUCCCUUCCGUGUCAGUUGUCUACUUCCCUUUCUUACAGUGGUUGGAAACUUUAAGUUUUGACACUUUUGAAAGCAAUGGCCAGAUCUUAUUUGGCUUCCUCUAUUGCACUCUCCAUCAUGUUCUUGCGCACUUACCAUCUUCCUCACCCAGUCGCUCUCAUCUCGUUUGUCACACGAUUACACACAUCAGCAGGUCCCGGUGUGGUUCAUUUUUCUUUUUCAUUUUUCUCAUGUAGCUUUUGUCUUACUGAGUCUCUAAAAACAGAAAAAAAAACAGUCAUGUCAAAAACAUGCUCAUAUAGUUUACAGUUGACACUGUUGGUUAUUUUUCUGCAAAGGUUCUCUGCACAAUUGCAAAGACAACUUCUACUUUGAAGUCUUAUUUAAUUUUCUGUAAAGUCAAGUUAUUUUGACAAGUAAAUCAAGGAACUGAGUCUUCUGAAAAUGUUUGGUGGGGGGGCUGUUAUCUGUGGCUCAGUGUGUGUGAGGUGCUAUAAAUACGUUGUCCUCUUCAGCCAUGAAAUCUGUCAUCAGAAAUUUUCCGACCACAAAACAGGAAGUUUAGAAGAACAAAUCGAGAACUGUGCCUAAAAUUAAGUCAAAGCUCAACACAACGGAGUGUGCAUUCACUUCUUCACAUACCCACAGUGUAAUGGACAAAAAUACCACUGACCAAACAGAAACAUCUGUACUGGACAUUUUUAAUUUACAUUGUGCAUCUGAAUUUGUUCUGCCUUUUUGUUGCCACAUGCUGUGCACAUCAGUCUGCCUGAUAACCACUAAUGCGAUCAUAUAUGUACUGUAUGGCCUAUGUUCAGACCUGAUUAACUGCAGGACAAACUCACAAAUCAGUAAAAAAA